rnacentral:lncRNA from 1 species
GGGCGCGCACGGCAGUGGGAGCCCAGCGCUGCCGGGAGCCGCCGCCGCUCGGUCCGCCCGGGCACGGACCGCCGCGGGAGCCGCCAGACAGGCUGAUCAGCCUCGAUCGCAGUGUUAAGAGACCUGAAGCAAGGAUCCUGACAGAUGCAUAUUCAGUACAGCCUGACUUCGUGAGGAGAACAAGUAUUUCCCUGAAAGUCUGGCCCCUCAAAGCAGCACACAGGAGAAAAGUGCAACCCAGCUGCUCGGUGCAGAGAUCUGAGGGCUCCUGCAGGGUGAAGCGCUUGGUGCCACUUAACAAACCAGCCAAUGUGCAGUCUCUGGCGUGUGCACUUUAUUCCACAUGCUUGUUCUGAGCCUCCUGCUGUUGCUCACGCUACAACUGCUGACAAGUACCUUCCUGGCAACAUGGAAUCACAGCCUGUGACUUGAGACCCUG